GGACUACUGGGGUUUCUAAUCCUGUUUGCUCCCCACGCUGUCGCGCCUCAGCGUCAGCUACUGCCCAGCAGGCCGCCUUCGCCACCGGUGUUCUUCCGGAUCUCUACGCAUUCCACCGCUACACCCGGAAUUCCACCUGCCUCUACAGUGCUCGAGUGAAGGAGUAUCCUUGGCCGACUCGCAGUUGAGCCACGAGCUUUCACCACGGACUUCCCCCACCGCCUACGCGCCCUUUACGCCCAGUGAUUCCGGACAACGCUCGCACCCUCCGUAUUACCGCGGCUGCUGGCAC
rnacentral:rRNA from 1 species